GAUGAACGCUGGCGGCGUGCCUAAUACAUGCAAGUCGAGCGGUAAGGCUCCUUCGGGAGUACACGAGCGGCGGACGGCUGAGUAACACGUAGGAACGUACCCCAAACUGAGGGAUAAGCACCAGAAAUGGUGUCUAAUACCGCAUGUGAUCUUCGGAUUAAAGCUUCGGCGGUUUGGGAACGGCCUGCGCAUGAUUAGCUUGUUGGUGAGGUAAAAGCUCACCAAGGCGACGAUCAUUAGCUGGUCUGAGAGGAUGAUCAGCCAGACUGGGACUGAGAACGGCCCAGACUCCUACGGGAGGCAGCAGUAGGGAAUUUUCCACAAUGGGCGAAAGCCUGAUGGAGCAACGCCGCGUGCAGGAUGAAUGUCUUCGGAUUGUAAACUG
rnacentral:rRNA from 1 species